UUCAAUGGUGGGCGGUGCGGGAGGGCCGCAAGGCCCGCCGGUCCGUAGGCCGGUACGCCAAUCCCGCACCGUCCGCCACCCCG
rnacentral:antisense_RNA from 1 species